rnacentral:rRNA from 1 species
CAGUCGCCACGGGAACACGGAGGAUCCAAGCGUUAUCCGGAAUCAUUGGGUUUAAAGGGUCCGUAGGCGGUCUUGUAAGUCAGUGGUGAAAGCCCAUCGCUCAACGGUGGAACGGCCAUUGAUACUGCAGGACUUGAAUUAUUGGGAAGUAACUAGAAUAUGUAGUGUAGCGGUGAAAUGCUUAGAGAUUACAUGGAAUACCAAUUGCGAAGGCAGGUUACUACCAAUUGAUUGACGCUGAUGGACGAAAGCGUGGGUAGCGAACAGGAUUAGAUACCCCCGUAGUCCCUGUCUCUUAUAA